AAAUAUUUUAUGCUUUUGAAUUAGAGAACAAACAAUGACAGAGCAGGAGAAGAAAUCACCUGAGGCAGACGAUGAUUGUAAUUGCAAAUCCCAAUACACUCAAGCUCCCAAAAUUUACUCACUCAAAAAACUAUCUCAUCAUCCUUUGCCAGUCCACACCAGUUCCCAGCGAACAAACUAAAUUCUGACAUUUGCCUAAAUAGGCUGCUAAGUAUCCUCAGCCUGAUUACAUGGAUAACUAAAACAACAUUACUAAAGUUUAAUCUUAAGAGUUUCAAAACAGUGGAAAAGAUGCCGUAGUUGAUUAAAAAAAAAAAAAAACCCGAGUUAUCCAUGGCGACAGGUCCAGGUUCAGGCUGAUGAAAAGAACUGCAGCUUCUGACAAUAGCAUGGGCAGCCAUCAAAACCUCAAAUUUCCCAGCAGCAGCUUAAUGCAAUCAUACUUACGAAUGUCACUUGAUAGCAAAUAAC
rnacentral:lncRNA from 1 species